GCACAUCCUGUAAAGCGAGAACGGAACGGGAAUGAGUUACGUAGUAGAACUGGGAACGAGAACGGAACGCGGUACGCGUGGCAAAAUUAGUUUGGAUCGUUGUCAUCUCUCAUCGCAGAGAGUUGUCGUGUGUGUGGGAUUGUGCAGUUCGGAUUUGGAUCGCUGGUCGUGGAAUUUGGGAUAGGAAUCCAGACGGGCGGAGGCAACACGUGGGCCGUGAGAUCGACGGGCGUUGAUUAGAUAAACAUUCAUGAACAUAGAUAUGCCCCAUGUUUGUGGGUGCGGAGGGGGUGUAAUCAGAAUGCGGAUGACGUAGUCGAUGAGUCAAACGGAGAGUGAGAGUGACAAAAACCGAAAUGAAAUGCACAUAAAUAAGCAUUCGAAGAGGGCAAAAGAGAGAGCGAGAGCCCGGCGACUGCAGCAAUGGCAAUGCCUUGAUGCCCCUCACGUAAGCCUUUCCAUUAUGGAUGCAGGACAUGCACUCUACUGCACACACAUACCUUCAGAAAACUCCUGGCCAAGUGUGUGCAAUCAGGAGCGAAACGAGGACAUUGCAGGCCAAAAACAAAAUCAAUGAAAUUUUCCCUACUUCCUUUGGCAGGAGGCAAAAAGAGAAAGGCGAGGGGGUAGGGUAUUGAAAGAGGGGUGGCCUGGUUUGCUCGUCUGGCCGAUGUUUGCCUUUCGGCUUCGUCCUGCAGGCGAGACCAAAGUUAUUAGUCCGCAACACCUUUUGGCGUUGCCGCAUUAGCCAAACAGCAUAAAAAAUGCAAGAAAAAAACACCAUGCAUUUCAGCAAACAGACAGCUAAUGGUUUUUCUUUCGAUGCCGUCUGAAAAGGAAAAGUUUUGCCUUCAGAUAGGGAAAAUAUUUGCACUGAGGCAUGAAAGACUGCAACAUUUCCUCCUUUUACCCAGCUGUUAUAUCAGAACGGUUAUGAUGAUGCGCUCAUCGUUCGACAGUUAUUUUAAUAUAAUUAACCUUGGUCACGCCACUUGGCGAAGUGGGUUACGAAAAAUUUGCAAGCCAAACACAAGCAAGAAAAUUGCGCAAACAAGUGACCCCGAGUAGUAAUUAAACCGCCAGCCGCACAACAAGUUACUCAUCUAAUCAAUGAAGUGAGCGUGGUCACUGAACCCCAUAAACAUCUUGUGUUGCGUAAGAUAAGACGUGAAAACUGUUGACUUCUCAUAACUAUAAUUAAUAACCAAUGAAUAAUACUCAUAUUCAAGUCAUGAUGUUCGUCUUAAAUCUUCUCUGAGCGCAUAAAGAAAUAAUUAAAAAUAUGCUAUUACAAAGAUAUUGAUAAAAGUAAUGUAGAUUUGAAAAGUUUUGGAUAUUCUUUUUAGAGCUAUAAUGAAUAAUGAAAGCCAAUAAAACCAAUGCCCAAUAGGUGGCAGAAAAGUU